CUCCCUCCCGUUUUAACCAUACUCCUGUACUAUGAUGCAGGAUAAGGACCGCAAGGAGGGAAGAGAGGAUUUGGGGUUCUCRCCAUCGCGGAACGACUAAGGCAGGCUGUGAGCAGGCUCCUCGCUGGCGAUACUGGACACAGCUCGCUGCAACGCUGCUUUUCCACCCGCUGACUGUCUGCCCCUCUCUGCCAGCCAAACUGGUGCUUAAUUGAAUCCACAGUGUGAUCUGCUGGCUGUGUUYGGUGGACGGCGCGGCUCGCUGCAGGUGUAGGGGGGAAGGUGAGCCUUUGGUGCAAAGCUCUGCUGCUUCGGUUCCCC
rnacentral:lncRNA from 1 species